UCGAGGGGCAGCGGGGUUGUAGCAAUACAACUGCCGGCGACCGGCGCACGGGUGAGUAACACGUAUGUAACCUGCCCUCUGCAGGGGGAUAAGCGGAAGAGAUUCCGUCUAAUACCGCAUAAUACAAUUUGGAGACAUCUCCGGGUUGUCAAAGGAGUGAUCCGGCAGAGGAUGGACAUGCGGCGCAUUAGCUAGUCGGCGGGGUAACGGCCCACCGAGGCUACGAUGCGUAGGGGUUCUGAGAGGAAGGUCCCCCACACUGGUACUGAGACACGGACCAGACUCCUACGGGAGGCAGCAGUGAGGAAUAUUGGUCAAUGGGCGGAAGCCUGAACCAGCCAAGUCGCGUGAGGGAAGACGGUCCUAAAAAAAAUAAACCUUUUUUUCUUCCCCCCAAAACACGGUACGUGUACCGCGAUGGAAAAAAAACAUUUUUUUUUGCAUCGGCUAGGUGGGAAAAAACAGCCGCGGUAAUACGGAGGAUGCGAGCGUUAUCCGGAUUUAUUGGGUUUAAAGGGUGCGCAGGCGGACUGUUAAGUCAGCGGUAAAAUGUCGUUUCUCUACACCGGCCGGCCGUUGAAACUGGCAGCCUUGAGUGAGCGAGAAGUAUGCCGAAUGCGUGGUGUAGCGGUGAA
rnacentral:rRNA from 1 species